AUUUAAUCCGAGAGAGUCAGCGGCAGCCUGCAGCAGCUAGAGCAGAGCGAUGGCCGCGCUUCUGGGCAUCCUCCUCGUGGCCUUCCUCGCCGCCGCCGUCCCUUUCGCGCUCCGCCUGCUCCACUCCUUCCUGUGGGUCCCGCGCCGCCUGGAGCGCCGGUUCCGCCGGCAGGGCAUCCGGGGCCCGCCGCGCCGCCCGCUCUCCGGCAACGCCGCCGGCUACCGCGACCUGCUCGCCGCCGCCCAGUCCGCGCCGCUCGCGUCCUUCCAUCACGCCGUCGUGGCCCGCGUCGCGCCGCACUACCGCGAGUGGCCCGAGCGGUACGGCCGCCCGUUCGUGUUCUGGCUCGGGCCCCGCCCGCGGCUGGUGGUCUCCGACCCGGAGGUCGUGAAGGCCGUGCUGACCGACCCCACGGGGACCUUCGAUAAGGCUGGCUCCGGCGGCGGCAACCCGCUCGCCCGGCAGCUUUUUGGCGAGGGUUUGGUGGGGCUCACCGGGGAGAAGUGGGCGCGCCACCGUCGCGUGAUCGCGCCGGCGUUCAACAUGGAGAGGAUCAAGGGUUGGAUUUCAGAAAUAACAGCUAUCACCUCAUCCAUGCUGGAUAAAUGGGAAGUUCAAGAUGAAGCACGCGCUGAGUUUGAGAUCGAUGUACAUAAAGAAUUUCACACUUUGAUUGCAGAUGUCAUUUCCAGUGUGGCAUUUGGAAGUAGCUAUGAGGAAGGAAAGCGCGUUUUCGAAUUGCAGGAGGAACAGCUAAAACUUGCAAUUCUUGCAAUGACGACAGUCUAUAUUCCUGGCUUCAGGUUUGUGCCAACAAAGAAGAACCGACGACGGCAUAUGCUAAACCAGGAAGUCAGGAAUUCCUUGCGCAAAUUGAUUGAGAUCAAUGGAAGGAAGUGUGAGGAUUCGAACAAUCUGCUUGGGAUGAUGUUAUCGGCCAGUAAACUUGGUAGUGAAUUCAGAAUGGGAAUUGAAGAAAUAAUUGAUGAGUGCAAGACAUUUUACUUUACCGGGAAAGAAACAACAGCUAACUUAUUGACAUGGGCAACUCUUCUCCUAGCUUUACAUCAAGAGUGGCAAAACAAAGCUCGCGAUGAAGUCCUUCAAGCUUGUGGCAAGUCUGAGCACCCAAACGCGGAAAACCUGAGUAAUCUCAAAAUUGUAAAUAUGGUGCUAAAAGAAACCCUCAGGUUGUAUCCUCCUGCUAUGUUUCUCAAUAGGAUGGUCAACAGGGAUGUCAAGCUGGGCAAACUCGACAUUCCAGCUGGCACGCAGCUCCAUUUUCCCAUUCUUGACAUUCACCAUGAUGUUAACAUAUGGGGCACCAAUGCAGAUGAGUUUGAUCCAUCAAGGUUUGCAGAGGGCAAGAGCUAUCACCUUGGUGCAUACUUUCCCUUUGGGAUUGGCCCUACUAUCUGUGUCGGCCAGAAUCUUACGAUGGUUGAAGAAAAGGUGGCCCUUGCAAUGAUCCUUCAGCGUUUCGCGCUUGUUGUCUCGCGUCCUAUGUUCAUGCGCCAAUGCAUGGAGUCACACUCCAACCCCAGUACGGUGCUCAAGUUCUUGCCCAUAAGAUUUGAGACUUCGAUGGAUUUGUGUGUGGAUUUCUGGGUCUUUGCAGUAAAUAUGGUGAAUGCAGCAGACGUACAUCGUGUAUUAUAUAUCUUUGUGAACAAUUUUGGAAGGAUGUUUCCAGCUCGUCUGAACUUUCUAUCAAAAGUGGAAUUUGCUGGAGCCAUGGGAGCAUUUUCCAUGU